rnacentral:rRNA from 1 species
UACAGAGGGGGCAAGCGUUGUUCGGAAUUACUGGGCGUAAAGAGCUCGUAGGUGGUUUGUCGCGUUGUCCGUGAAAACUCACAACUCAAUUGUGGGCGUGCGGGCGAUACGGGCAGACUGGAGUACUGCAGGGGAGACUGGAAUUCCUGGUGUAGCGGUGGAAUGCGCAGAUAUCAGGAGGAACACCGGUGGCGAAGGCGGGUCUCUGGGCAGUAACUGACGCUGAGGAGCGAAAGCGUGGGGAGCAAACAGG